GGGGACGGUGAGACGGGUGGCGGACUCGGAGAUGGCGACGGCGGCGAUCGACUUCAUGGGCUGAACGGGCAUGGGGACGCCGAAGAGAAGGCCGGUGAGGAUGUUGUAGAUGGCGGUGAAGAUGAGGGUGGUGCCGAGGUCGAUGUGGUUAACCAGGGAGAGGGCGAGGACGAUGGGGAUGUACGUUCCGAGGUCGCCGACGGACCCGCCGAGCUCGGACCAGACGGUGGUCUUGAGGCGGAAGCUGGACGCGUAGUAGGAGAAAGGGCGGCACCUGAAGACGAAGCGGCCGCGGCCCAGCAGAGGCGUGCCGGCGCCAGCGGUGGAAGCUCGCGCUGCCGCUGGAGGUGAGAGCUCCCCUUCCAUGGUUUGCUGAUGCAGGCCGG
rnacentral:lncRNA from 1 species